AAAAAAAAAUCUCAUAAGAUAUCAUAUUUUUAUUAAAUUAAUCUUACUAAUGUGUUAGUAAUAGUGUAUAUAACUAAACGAGUACACAUGUAUUGUUGAUAUUAAAUAUGAAAUUCAUCAACUCCUAUCUUACGGUGACAAUCGAAGAAUUAUGAAACUCAAGUACCGUUCACCGUGGAUUGACAAUUGAGAGAAAAUUGAGUUCAACAACUUUGAAUUCAAGACGACCGCAGAUGUAAGGAUUAUGUGAAAUAUGUAUUUCUAUUUCAAAAUAAAAGUUUCGCUCGAGUUGGAAGCAACGAUUUCAAGAUCGAUCGAAGAUAUUGUGAAAAUGUUGUGAAGCGUCCACUUGGAUAUUGAUUUUGAAGUGUAAUGUUGCAUUUUAUAUUGAAAUCAUCUAUGUAAUACUUUUUUUAUUCUAUGAAUGCUAAUUUCAUUUUGGAAAAUUACAUGUUUUUGAUGUCUGCUUCUGCUACUGCUGUUUAUACAUUAUGGAAAUUCAUCUACACAAACUUUUGGAGAUGCAUCUCUGGUAUUAAAAUAGGGUAGAUGGUGAAGGCAACGCAUGCAGAAGACAAGGUAAGUGUACUGAUCACGUAAAGAACCUGCAGGAUUCCAUGCAGAGACAAGACAAGGCAAACGCCCUUACCAAUAGUGCAUGCAAGAUUCUUCUGCCCUAAUAAGCCAAAGCAUAUGUCUGUAUGAUUCUCUGCAAAGAUGUUUCUGCCCUAACAAGACAAGGAAAACACCCUUAUCAAUGGCGCAUAAAGCAACCCAUGUGCCCUCUUCAUUGGUGCAUACUCUCAUGCAUGCUUAAACACAAGGCAUGCGCCCUUCCCAUUGGCGCCUACACUUAUAAUUCACAUGCUGCAACUUGCCAACCUAUCUCAUCUAUAAAUAUUGCAACAACUCACAGCAUUCAACAUCUACAACACUCAAUAUCUACAACAUUAAAUACCCGCAACACUCAACCUCUACAACACUUAACCUUGAAGGUAGAGAAAAACAAGAAAAGGGAUUUGAAUUGUUUUAGAAAAUAAAAACUUUUACAUAAUUUAGACACACACAAAAUAAAAUUGUGACACGGAAUUUUAUACUGAUUCGCUUGAAAUUCAAAGUUACUCCAGUCCACCCGGCCAAGGUGAUUUCGCCUUCAAAAAGGACUUAAUCCACUAAUCUGAAAGAUUACACAAACAAUUAUCUAAGAGAAUAAUUCCUUAGCCCUCUCAAGUAUUCAGACUGCACAUAGUCACUUGAGGAAAUAUCUUAGCAAAAAUAUAUGAUUUGUAAUACAACGUGCUUCUAACAAAAAGCAAAUAUUACAGAGUUACAAGAGCAACAGUUUUUCACGUAAGAGCAGCAGCUCGUGAAAAUGUAAGAGAGGAUGAAUGAGAGUUGUUGUAUUCUUGUGUGUCUCAGGUGUGUUCUCUUGUGAAGUAUUACGUCUGUUAUAUAGGCGUUGAGAAGAAAUGUUGGAGUGACGACAGAAUCUUGGCGAUUGAAGAAUGUUUAUUGUCAUUACUCUCCUUGUUUCUUUCUAAAACCGUUGUGUGCGCGUCAUAAUUUCCUUCUAGAAAUAAUUUCUUUCCAAAACCAGAUUUCUUUAUGGUUACGCGUUAUGAACUGGUGACUCUAUAUCGGAGUCUUGGCAAGUCAUAGUUUAACUUCAGGGGUUUCUUUUAUCUGACCACAUCAGAGUUUCUCUAUGAUAUUGACUUCUUCAGAUUCAGAGUCUGGAUUCAGUCUUCUUUACUAGAGUUUCUGACUUCUUUCUGUUUUGCUGGUACCUGCAUUGUUCCGAGUCAGAACCUUCUGGACGCGUUUCCUUUGAGCAGCAUUCGAUUGUUAGAUUUUAUAUCUGAUGAUUUUAUAUAUCUGAUUGUUUGAUCAGAGUCCUGCACACUUAAGAAAAAUUUCGUUAGAGUACCAUUUUUGUUUCAUCCUUUGUUAUCAUCAAAAUCUUAGAGAUACAUUGUAGAACCAACUUUAUUCUUACAAUCUCCCCCUUUUUGAUGAUGACAAAACAAUACAGAAUAAAGGUGAAACAGUAAAAAAAUUCUCAUAUCAGAUAGGAAAGGGGACUCCCCCUGAGUUAGAUCCUUAGAUUAACCAGAAGUUUUUACCGGAGCUUCCUUGGUUUAGUGUUUUAGCUACUUUCCUGCAUAUCUUUAGUCAUUGAUUUAAUAAUAAUUUAUAAUAAUGUUUGCAGUGCUUUGAGGAGAUUUAGUUAUGUUUCCAUCAGAGUUGUUUUAGUUCUCCCCCUUUUUGUCAGAAUUAAAAAGACAUAGCAAAAAGUUGAUAUUGAUAAAAAGAGCAAUUACAGAUAAGCAGCACAUAAGGCAGAUAUCAGAAGAAGAAAAAAAGAAACAUCAAAACAGAGAAAGCAACAAACAAUUAGCCUAGGUGCCUAAGGGUUUGGGGGUGGAGGCAUCCUUUGGAGCAGCUGGGACAGCAUGUUCUGAAUGUUGAUAUUGACAGAAUCCUGUUGAUCCAGCCUAGCCUGAACUACUUAUUAUUCUUUCUGCAGUUCCUCUAGAGUCUUCAAGACCAGAGGGACGAACCCAGAGUUGGAGUGCUCCCCCUGAGUCAGUGUAUCAACUUUGGCCUUGGCAGCUUCUUUUGUAGCAAUAUGAGCUGUUUCUUCAGCUUCGGCUUUAGCUUUUGCCUCAGCCUCAGCAGCAGCUGCAGCAACAGCAACAUCAGCAACAACCUUCUCUUCAGCUUCUCUGCUGUUCUUCUUCUUGGUGUGCUUUCUCUUCAGCUUCCUUCCUAGCCUGUUCCUCAGCCUCUCUGGUCAAGUGUUCUUGGAGCCUAAUACCAGCGUCUCUGAUAAAGUUGUUGCGGACUUGUUCAGAGAGGCCUUUCAGUUUGAAGGCUUCAGAGGUCAUCCAACUUAUCACUCUGUUCCAAUGGAUCCUUACUUCAGAGGGAUCAUCACUAAUGCCAGAAUUGAUAGUCAAAGACUUGACAUUCUCUACUGAAGACUUUGCAAAAACUUGUAUUGCUUCUUCUAGGAUAGGGAGGGUAGUCUCUGGUUCAGUGGCAGAGGCUAGGGAGGAUGGAGAAGGUGAGUUUGGGGCAUUGAGAUUUAGUGUGGGAAUUAUGGAGGCAACAGAAGUUAUGGUGUGGGAACGGCAGAAGGUGACUAUGUUGUUUGUUCAGGUUGUGGGGUUGGUUCAGAUGGUGAGGGGGUAGGUUGCGGUUCAAAGUAGAUUGGUUGUUCAGGAGGUGGAUUUGGUUGUUGUGCAAGUGGUGGUGUUUGAGGUUGUUCAUAUGUAGUUGGAUUUGGAUGCUCAUGAGGUGGGGAAGUGACUUCUGGUUCAGGUUCAGAGUGUGAUGGCUGUUGAGAGGCCAGAGCACGGGCUUGUAGCUGAGCCAGAAUGGCAGAUUGAGGGUCAUAUGGUUCGUUGUUGGAGGAGAGUAUGUAGUAUGGUGGGGAUUGUGGAGAUGGUGAUGAUGAUGGUGAAGUAGUUUCAUUCAGCAUUUCUGCUUCAGAAACGGGUAGUGUGGUGGUAGCGAUGUUGAAUUUAAGUGAGGGUGGGUUAGAGGAUCUGGUGGUUGAGGGAAGAGUUUCAGAGGAGGUGUAUAUGGGAGUGGUUUGGGGAAGAGAAAAAGCAAUUGGUUUUAUUUUAACAGGGCGAGAGAGAGGUACAAACUUACUUGGAGAGCCAGCCAAAGGUGCUGGAGGUCUUCACCCAGAGGAUUCUCCCAGUCUUGCUUUCUUAGCCUUUUUGAACUUCUUAGAGGGAUCUCGCAUCCUCUUUAUGAAGUUUGGUGGAUGCUCGGGUAGCCAGUCCACUAUGAAGUCAGAGAUGUCUACCCCUUGAUUGGCAAUGUCCUAUAGAUAGUAGGCUACUACCUCUGGAGGGUCAAUCUUGGAGAACAGGUAGAGUUCGUUGGGAAUCUCCCUCUGAUCCUUGAGUUCUUCCCAGGAGGUGUCAAGAGUUGGUUUGGCUAUGACUUGAUCAAUGAUUCCCAUGCUCUUUAGAUUUCGAGCAUUCAGCAGUCUACCAAUGUCAAUAGUGACAUCUUCCAUGAGUCUGAGCUGAAUCAAAUGAUCCACUAAGCCACUCUCAAUCAACACAUCUGAUAUGAGUCUCCCUAGAGGGAUAUAGUUCAUGGUCUUCAUGUUGUUUCUGGUGUCUUUGACUGAGUCUUUGAGGUACUUGAAGAACAAGGCUGGUAAACAGAGUUUCAGCCCCUUGUGAAUGCAGUACAAGAUACACUUCUGAUCUAUGUUGAUGUAGUCAGAAGAGUUUGAUGCAGGGUGAUGAUGAAUGGUUCCUAAGAUGAUCUUCAACCAGACACGAAGGUUCUGAUAUAACUCAUUGUUCUUGGAAUACUUGCCUUUAACACUCUGUUGGAAGAUGGUAGGGUUGAUUUCCUGGGACAAGUAUUUUGCCAUAGGGUUUAUGUUAUAGAUGCGUCAUCCUCCUGUCUUCUCCAUGUUCAGAAGAGAAGCAAUGGAUUUCUUGGUGAUGACUAUCUUGACUCCCAGAAUGUAGGAGACAGUGUAGUGAUCAUUUGAGUAUGCGAAACGCCAGAACCCUUUCACCAGAUUUGUAUACACAGGGCCAUAGAGGCGUUGAAAAUAGGUUUCUCACCCUUGCAUUCUCAACUCUUCAGUUAGGUCUACGCCAUUUUUCUUCAUGUUUACAAAGUCCACUAGCGACUCACAUAGAACUUCCAGUUUUUCAAAUGGUGUUGCUAGGUGGAUGUGAGGCUCACGAUCGAUGAUAUGGGGUUCCCUGUAGAUUGAGCUUGAGACAAUGCCGAUGGUUGUUGUGGUUUGUUGACUUGAAAUGGGUGUUUGCUCCGUUGAAUUCAUUUGUUGGGAGAAGUUGUAAAUUGAUUGUUAUUGAUAAUCCAUGAAGAACACAGUUGAAGAUGAAGGUUGCUGGAUGAAGAACUUAAUGAAAACUGCAAAAAUCUUGAGGAUGAUGAAGAACUGAGAGAGAGAGGGUUUAGUGUGGUCGUGAGUGUAAAGUGUGCAAAUGUAGUAUGUGAAAUGAAUUUAUACACAUUAUGAUGCAUGCAAAACGACAGUAAUGAGGGAGUUUAACUGUUCAGACAUUAAAUGUAGCAUGUUAACCAAGUAAGGACGUUUGGAGGAGAAUGAUUACAGCCCAUGAUGGAGGUCUAAUCCCCAAAUCAGUAUACUACUCGAGGAGAUUUCAAGAGUCUGUCGCUUGAUUUCUGUUAGACAGCUGUCUAGAAGUUCCAAGGUCAGACGCAAGAUGUACCACGUGUUACUUUAUCUGAUCUUCAGGAAUACCAAAGGGUUGGAUCCUGAUGAUUUCUGAAUCAGAUAGCUUCUAACUGGUAGUAGCAUCAGAGUCAGAUACAGAUUGCAGGUGUUUACUUCAGAGUCUUAUUUUGCUAUUUCAAAGGCACAUUUCAUUUUGGACAAUUUUUAAUGUUUAAAAUUUUCAAGAUAAAAGAGAAUCUAUCUUCAGCGAGGGGUUUGGUAAAAAUGUCAGCCCAUUGAUGGUCUGUAUCAAUAAAUUUUAAAGUAAUUACCCCUUUCUGAACAUAGUCUCUAAUGAAAUGAUGGUUUAUUUCUAUGUGCUUAGCUAUGGAAUGCAAAAUAAGAUUCUUACUUAAACAGAUGGCAGCAGUAUUAUCACAGAAAAUAGGAACGUUACUCUCAAAGAUCAGAAGGUCUUCGAGUUGAUUCUUCAUCCAGAGCAUCUGAGUAAUGCAGAGUGACGCUGAUAUAUAUUCUGCUUCUGCAGUGGAUAGAGCUAUGGUUGAUUGCCUUUUACUGGCCCAAGAUAUAAGAUUAUUUCCCAAGAACUGAUAGUUCUCAGAUGUACUUUUACGUUCCAUUAUGUCCCCUACCUAAUCUACAUCACAGUAACCAGAGAGUCUAUACUCUGAUGUUUUCUCAUACAUCAGGCCCAGGUUAGGGGUUCCUUUCAGAUACCUGAGGAUUCUUUUAACAGCUAUUAAAUGAGAUUCUCUAUGAUCUGAUUGGAAUCUGGCAUAGAGGCAUACACUAAACAGAAUAUCAGGACAUGUAGCUGUCAGAUAGAGAAGAGAGCAUAUCAUACCACGAUAGAGCUUCUGACAAACCUUCUGACUAAUUUCUUCUUUUUCUAGAAUGCAAGUUGGAUGCAUAAGUGUCUUAGCAGGUUUGCAUUCAGCCAUUUCGAACUUCUUCAGAAUGUCUUUUAUGUAUUUACUUUGAUAAACGUAGGUAGCUUCUGAAGCUUGAUUGAUUUGAAUCCCUAUAAAGAACUUUAGUUCUUGCGUUAAGCUCAUUUCAAAUUCUGCCUGCAUUAGCUCAGAGAAUUCUUGACAUACAUAAGGGUUAGCUGAUCCAAAAAUAAUGUCAUCAACAUAUAUCUGGCAUAUCAUGAGAUCAUUUCUAAUGUUUUUACAGAAGAGUGUAGAGUCAACCUUUCCUCUAAUAAAGUCAUGUUCUAGAAGAAAGUUGCUUAGUCUUUCAUACCAAGGUCUAGGUGCUUGUUUUAAACCGUACAGUGAUUUCUUAAGUUUAAAAACGUGUUCUGGACAUUUAGAGUUUUCAAAACCUGGAGGUUGAUUGACAUAAACUUCUUCUGAUAUAUAACCAUUAAGAAAUGCACUAUUGACAUCCAUUUGAUAUAGUUUGAUUGAAUGAUUUACAUCAAAUGAAACAAGUAAGCGAAUAGAUUCUAACCUGGCGACUGGGGAAAAGGUUUCGUUGUAGUCAAUGCCUUCUUGUUGACUAUACCCCUGUGCCACCAGUCGUGUUUUAUUUCUGACAACUUCUCCUUUUUUGUUCAGUUUGUUUCUGAACACCCAUCUGGUUCCAAUAAUGUGAGUUCCUUUAGGUUUUGGAACAAGAUCCCAAACAUCAUUCUUUGAGAAUUGAUCUAGCUCUUCUUUCAUAGCCAGAACCCAGUCAUUGUCUUGAAGUGCCUCAUCACAGGAAGUAGGUUCGAUUAGAGAUACUAAUCCUAGAGGAGUUUCUUUAGAUACUUUGAAUGUUGACCUAGUUCUGACAGGUUCAUCCUUGUUUCCCAAAAUCAAAUCUUUAGAGAUGUUGGGGUGACUCCUUGAUUUCUUAUGGAUGGUUGAGGCUUCAGAUUCAUUUGGCUUUUGUCUUUAAGAUACUUCUGGUGUUUUAGUCUUUUCGUCAUAACAUGCAAGAGUAAUCUCCAAAUCUGCAAGUUUCUCAACUAGCUUUGACUUUUCAGGGUCAAGCUUAUCAUCAAAUCUAACAUGGAUUGAUUCUUCCAUAAUUUUGGUUUAUGUGUUGUAUACUUUGUAGCCUUUAGAGCGUUCUGAGUAUCCUAACAUAAUACCUUUUUGUGCUUUUGAAUCAAACUUAUUCAGAUGUUCUUUAGUAUUGAGAAUAAAACAGGAGCAUCCAAAAGGAUGGAAAUAAGAAAUGUUGGGUUUUCUUCCCUUACACAAUUCAUAGGGAGUCUUCUCCAAAAUAGGUCUUAUAGAGAUUCUAUUCUGAAUAUAACACAAUGUAUUUACUACUUCAACCCAAAAGUGCUUAGCCAUAUUUGUUUCAUUGAUCAUGGUUCUAGCCAUCUCUUUGAGUGUCCUAUUCUUCCUCUCUACAACUCCGUUUUGUUAUGGAGUUUUAGGACAGGUGAAAUCAUGGGAUAUUCCAUUAGAAUCAAAUAGUUCCUCAAAAAAUUUAUUUUCAAAUUCGCCACCAUGAUCACUUCUGACUCUGAUGAUUUUAGAGUCAAACUCGUUUUGCACUUUGGAACAGAAGCUAGUGAAUACAAAGUGAGACUCACUCUUGUGCUUUAGGAAUUUUACCCAUGUCCAGCAACUAAAGUCAUCAAUAAUAACUAGUCCAUAUUUCUUUCCAUUGACUGACGCUGUCUUAACAGGCCCAAACAGGUCAAUGUGACGAAGUUCCAGAGGCUUAGAGGUAUAAACACUAUUUUUCUUUUUAAAAGAUGUUUUUGAAAAUUUACCUUUUUGACAUGCCUCACAUAAAGCUUCUGAAGAAUACUUCAGUUUAGGCAGGCCUCUGACUAACUCGAGUUUAUUUAACUGAGAGAGUUUUCUCAUGCUAAUGUGGCCCAAGCGUCUAUGCCUUACCCAUUGCUCUUCAUGAACAAACAUCAGGCAUUUUAUGUUUUGUUCUUUUAGGUCUGAAAGAUUUAUCUUGUAAAUAUUGUUUUUCCUCUUGCCAAUGAAUAGGAUUGUUCCAUUAUUCUGAUUAAUUGCUUUACAUGUUUUUCGAUUGAAGAUUACAUCAUAAUCGUUAUCACUUAAUUGAUUUAUUGAUAAAAGGUUAUGCAUUAAUCCUUCUACAUAGAGAACAUCAGAUAUAGAGGGAAGAGUUCCAUUACCAAUAGUUCUGGAGCCUUUGAUUCUUCCUUUCUGAUUUCCUCCGAAACCUACAAAGCCAACAUCUUUAAGUUCCAGGCUUUGGAACAUAUGUUUUCUUCCCGUCAUGUGUCGUAAGCAUCCAGAGUCCAGGUACCAUGAUUGGUGUCUUAACUCUGAUGCAUAAGAUAUUUGUAACAUGCACAAUCUCAUCCUUUGGUACCCAAAAUCUUCUGGGUCCUUUGUGAUUAGUUUUCCCAGAGUUUCUUAGAACUUUGGGUUAUCUAGCAUUAUUAAAAUAUUGUGCUUGUGUAUGUGUGUAAUGAUAAGAAAAGGGAGAUUUUGGUUUGUCAUUUGUAGAAGACUUUUCUUCACUUGGGACAUACCCUAUUCCUCUUUUAUUAUUCUGACUGACUCCGUAAAUCAUGGAUGUCAUUCUACUUCUCUCUAUCCCAUUUUUCAGAAACUUUUGAAAAGAUUUUUCAUAUUCAUAUAUUACUGUGUUCAAAGUUUGUGGGGCUUGAGAUAACGUUUUUUCAAGUUUUGAACAUUGUUUGUUUGUGGAGUCUCUUUCUAGUAUCAAGGUUCAGUUUUCAUCUUUUAGUUCUGAAACUGUCAUCUCAAGCUUAUCACAUUCUUCGAUGGUUCCUUCAAGAACCUAUUUUAAAGCUUUAAAUUUUUGUUUAAGUUUCUGAUAUGAGUUUAGAGUUUCAGAAAGACAUGAUUCAAGGUCAGAGCGAGAAAGAUCAGAAAAUACAUCUUCAGAGUCAGAUUCUCCAUAUGAUGUAUUUCUGGAGGUGGUAGCCAUGAGUGCAAUAUUUGCCUGUUCUUCAGAGUCUGAUUCAGAGGAAUCAUAUCCACUGUCGUCCCAGGUGGCCAUCAGUCCCUUUUUGGUUUUGAAUGAGCUUUUCUUGAAACCUUCUCUUCUGGAGCUUUCUUUCUUCAGCUUGGGACAUUCGUUUCUGUAAUGACAUGUUUCCUUGCAUUCAUAGCAUGUUAUAUCUUUGUUUAACUUACCUCUGGAAGUUGAUUCUGAGCGAUCUCCCUUGGAUCUUGGUCUUCUGAAUUUAUUAUUCCUUUUUCUCCAUAGUUGUUUUACUCUUCUGGUUAAAAGGGAUACUUCUUCUUCGUCGUCAAAGUCUUCCUUCUCAGAGUCGCCAUUAUCUUCCUCUUCAGCUUGGAAGUUGAUUCUGAGCGAUCUCCCUUGGAUCUUGGUCUUCUGAAUUUAUUAUUCCUUUUUCUCCAUAGUUGUUUUACUUUUCUGGUUAAAAGGGAUACUUCUUCUUCGUUGUCAGAGUCUUCCUUCUCAAAGUCGCCAUUGUCUUCCUCUUCAGCUUGGAAGGAUUUUUUUCUUUCUGGUUUGCGUCUUUCAGAUCUGGACUUUAGUGCUACAGACUUGAUCUUCUUUUGAGGUUCAUCUUCCUCCAGUUCUAUCUCGUGGCUUCUGAGUGAACUGACGAGUUCUUCAAGGCUGAUGUUAUUCAGAUCUUUUAAUAACUUUAGAGCUGUGACCAUGGGUCUCCAUUUCUUUGGCAAGCUUCUAAUAAUCUUUUUGACAUGAUUUGCAGUUAUGUAGCCUUUGUCCAACAUUUUUAGUCCUAUAAUUAAAGUUUGAAAUCUAGAAAAAAUUACCUUUACAGCUUCAUCGUCCUCCAUUUUGAAGGCUUCAUAUUUCUGAAUUAGAGCCAGAGCCUUUGUCUCUUUGACUUGAGAAUUUCCUUCGUGAGUCAUCCUCAGGGAGUCAAGUAUUUCUUUAGUUGUUAUUUUGAAGGCUUCAUAUUUCUGAAUUAGAGCCAGAGCCUUUGUCUCUUUGACUUGAGAAUUUCCUUCGUGAGUCAUCCUCAGGGAGUCAAGUAUUUCUUUAGUUGUUUCCCUGUUGGUGAUCUUUUCGUAUUCAUUGUAGGAAAUGGCAUUUAGUAGUAUCGUUCUGGCUUUGUGAUAGUUUUUGAAUUCACGCUUCUGAUCAUCUGUCAUUCUACUUCUGGGAAUGGCAACUCCAGCGUCAGUCACAGGUGGUGUAUAGCCAAUUAUGACUAUAUCCUAUAGAUCAGCGUCGUAGCCCAGAAAGAAACUUUAAAUUCUGUCUUUCCAAUAAUCAAAUUUUUCUCCAUCAAAGAUUAGAGGUUUAGCAUUGUAACUGUCUCUUUCAUUGGUGUUGGCCAUAGUGUUUUUCUCACGCUGGAUCUCUCUACACUGUUAAGCGUUUGAUUAGAAAAUCAAUAACAGAAUCAGGCUCUGAUACCAAUUGAAGGUAGAGAAAAACAAGAAAGGGGGUUUGAAUUGUUUUGGAAAAUAAAAACUUUUACAGAAUUUAGACACACACAAAAUAAAAUUGUGACACAGAAUUUUAUACUGAUUCGCUUGAAAUUCAAAGCUACUCUAGUCCACCUGGCCAAGAUGAUUUUGCCUUCAAAAAGGACUUAAUCCACUAAUCUGAAAGAUUACACAAACAACCGUCUAAGAGAAUAAUCCCUUAGUCCUCUCAAGUAUUCAGACUGCACAAAGUCACUUGAGGAAAUAUCUUAGCAAAAAUAUAUGAUUUGUAAUGCAAUGUGCUUCUAACAAAAUGUAAAUAUUACAGAGUUACAAGAGCAACAGUUUUUCACGUAAGAGCAACAACUCGUGAAAACGUAAGAGAGAAUGAAUGAGAGUUAUUGUAUUCUUGUGUGUCUCAGGUGUGUUCUCUUAUGAAGUAUUUCGUCCGUUAUAUAGGCGUUGAGAAGAACCGUUUAAGUGAUGACAUAAUCUUGGUCAUUGAAGAAUGUUUAUUGUCAUUACUCUCCUUGUUUUUUUUUCUAAAACCGUUGUGUGCGCGUCAUACUUUCCUUCUAGAAAUAAUUUCUUUCCAAAACCAGAUUUCUUUAUGGUUACGCGUUCUGAACUGGUGACUAUGUAUCGGAGUCUUGGUAAGUCAGAGUUUAACUUCAGAGGUUGCUUUUAUCUGACCACAUCAGAGUUUCUCUAUGCUCUUGACUUCUUCAAAUUCAUAGUCUGGAUUCAAUCUUCUUUACCAGAGUUUCUGACUUCUUUCUGUUUUGCUGGUACCUGCGUUGAUCCGAGUCAGAACCUUCUAGACGCGUUUCUUCUGAGCAGCAUCUGAUUGUUAGAUUCUGUAUCUGAUGUUUUUAUCUAUUUGAUUGUUUGAUUAGAGUCCUGCACACUUAAGAAAAAUUUCGUUAGAGUACCAUUUUUGUUUCAUCCUUUGUUAUCAUCAAAAUCUUAGAUAUACAUUGUAGAACCAACUUUGUUCUUACAAACCUCACUGUAACACUCAAUCUCUAUGCAACGGUCAAUCUCUCUACAACAUUAUGUCUCUAUUGACUAUGGGUGAUGAACAUCAAGGAACAAUCGAUAAUAUUGCGACAUUUGUAUGUUAUUACUUAAUUUAUAUUGUUUAUUACUUAUUCUUAUUCUUAUUUCGUAAUAAAAUGUCUCUAUUAUUUAUAACUUCUUCUUACUUAUGUUUUAUUAGGACCUAAAGAGAUUUCAAUAUCGUGUACAUGAAUAUGUACCACACGAUCCUUUGAUAAAACCAUAUAUUCGAGGAUGCGGUUUUUGUAAUCUACUUAACAUAGUCUCAUACUCGGUUGACAACAUAUUUAUUCUUGCUUUGUUAGAGAGAUGAAGAUCCGAGGCCCACACAUUUCACCUUCCUUUCGGAGAGUGUACCAUCACACUUGAGGACGUCUACAUGUUGUUAGGUAUACGUAUCGAUGGUAAGACCGUAAAUGGUAGAGUUAACCAAGAUAACUCUAUAUGCGAUGAAUUGUUGGGUGCCCCUUUGUGUGAAAACACAACUACGUGAGAGACUUCUGGUCAAGAUAGGGGUCAAGGUAUUAAUUUAAAAUAUUUUAAAUAAUAUUAUGCAAGUAUAACAUUAAACGAAGAAUCUACAGAGUAUGAAAAGAUAAUUAAAACUCGGUGUUAUAUUAUGAUUCUAUUUGGUAAUUUUUUAUUUCCUGAAAGUACUGGUAAUACGGUAAAUAUUACGUAUUUGUCGUUGUUACGAAACAUAAAUAGGGUAAGCACAUAUAGUUGGGGUUCAACUGUUUUGUCUCAUCUAUAUAGUUCGUUGUGUAAAAAUGACAAAAAAAAUACUUGUACGUUUUAUUCUUGCGCCUAUUUGCUACAAGCAUGAGGUUGGUCAAGACUGUUGUCACUUGCCCCCGUUAACAAGAAGUCAUUCACAUUCCCCUUUGCAAUAAAGUAAGUUAAAAAUUUUAUCAUCUAAUUUAUUAGACUUUAUACUACAAUUAACUUUAAAUAAUAUUUUUCCAAUCUUUUCGAUCUAGGUGGUCAGUGAAAUGGAUGAACUAUAACAAGUGUCCCAAACACGCUGUAGUAGUCUAUCACAAUCUUUUAGACCACAUUGGACCAGACAAUGUAAUACUACUACACAACUAUAUAUUUGAUUUAAAAAAAAUCAAUUACAUAUCAUUUAAUCAUGUCAUAUUAUUGUACAGUUUAUCUGGAGGCCAUAUUUGAGUCUUGAUUAUCAGGUUAACCAUGAUGAUGAUGCAGUUUGGACAGCAAAACACUAAUUAUCCGAUUCACUACCUUGGAAAUGCACCAGAGUGACUGUGUAAAACUGCAGUUCGGCAUGCAAUAACAAAUUCCCAAACUUCUGACAUAUUUAGGAGAUUGUCAUCAACAAAGAGUCGAUGGCCAAUGAGAUUAUUCCGACUGGAGAGACUUCGCAAAAGAGAUGUGUCGUCAUUGGAGGAAUCAACAACAACACAUCUUAAACGAACUAGUCAUAUAUGGUGCUAGACCAACUCAACAUUAUAUGACAUGGUUUAGGUCGAUUACAACGCCACAACUUGUGUCUGAGUCAAGGUAUUUGAUUGGUCCAAGCUAACAAGCUUCAUCAUCAAAUGACCAACAACAAAUUCCCGCCCAAGAACAAUGUCAGUCCACCCAAACCCAACGACCAACCUCACACCAUCGCCCUGCCAUAUACACUCAACCACCAAACAUCCAACCUCGCAACUAACUCAUGCCACACACCCAAACUCAAAACCAGGUAUCAAACCCUAACCACUAACAACCAUACACAUCCACCACAACAAUCUAUAACCCAAAUGAUUCAUUCGAUUCAGCAUCAUGCCAUCGUAGCCCCCCACCAAUGAACACCCAAACGUACAAUCGCCACAACACCCAACCAUUGUUUGACUUUAGUACACCACAAAACCAUUGCUUCAUUUCCAAAACGGUUCAAUGUCCCAGAUCGGGAAACCAUACCGUCCAUAAUCCACCCAACCACAACGACCCAACUACGACAACAUGGUCACCAAACUCAAUUACGGAAGCGUUGUUGGCGACAACCCCCCAUCUAUUAAGGACAAAUGAUGACAAAUCUAUCAAAUACCGCUGGACCUUCCACCAGACCUUCACACCAGCCACCAUUGCAUCAUGUCAGCACUCAAAGACCCCAAACACCUUAGGGAAAUCAUGGGAGACCUCGAACACAAGCUAAAGCACCUAGAUAUGGAACAUAGGGCGUUUCAAUCGGGCGAAUCAUUGAUUUUCUUGUCAAUUUUAUGUAUUUUUACUUUAUAAUAUAAUAUAAUUUUUAAUUUAAGUAUUUAAUUUAAGUAAUUAUAAAUAUAAAAUAUAAAAAAAAUGAAAAGUGCAUGCGGAACAUGCAUUGGCGCAUACGCUGAUGUAGUGUAUGCAUGCGCCAAUGCUUGUGGUUUCAAGGCAUGCAUGCACCCAGGCCAUUGACGCCUAUGCUCAUCUCCAAUGCAUGCAUGCGCCAAUGGCUUGGGCGCCUCCUCUGAAUGCGAAUUAGAUGCGUCAGUUCAACUGACGCAUCAGUAAUGAAAGGUGGUUAUUUCAGUAAUUAAUUUAAAAAAUAUGUUAUUUUAGUAUUUAAUUUGAAAACGAUUAUUAUUUUUAAAAAAAUCAAAAUAGAGAAGUUGGGUCAAAAACAUGAUUGUGAGAAGUAGAUGAGGGAAGGAGUAAGAGAGGAUUAAGGUUGGAUAAUAAUUAUAAUGAUUAAUGGAAUUACCCUAAAUAUAUUAUUAUUAUAUUUAAUUAUUUUAUUAUUAUAAUUAAAAUAAUAAGAGCAAAUAGAAUUUGAAGGGGAAGGAAAAUGUGAGAAUUUUGUGAAUAAGCGAGGGUAGAAGGGAGAAAUUCAAUUUUAGGGUUUUUGUUAUUAUAAAAAGGAAGUUGAGAGACUAUGAAGGGUUUUCUAUCCGAAAACAUAGAGGGAAAUACUAGAAUAAGGGAUUGAGAAAGAGAAGGCAAAGAGGUUAAGAGAGAAGAACAUUGUCAUACGGUGAACUGACUUUUGGGUGUUUUGCUUUUUAUCGCAAUGUCGCGGAUAGCAAGAGUCGCCACCGACUUUUCUUUUAUCCAAUAAGGAAAGGUGGAAAAGAGACAGAAAACUCAUAGAAUUUGUUCGGAGGUACAUUAACAAAAGGAAAUAUUAGCACCCUUUUACCAUGGUACCAUGCUCUAGGCGGAUCACUAACUUGUCGAAAAGUGUGCGAAUUUGUUAAAAAGUUGAAAGAGAGUUAACUUGGGAUACCGAUAAUGUUACAAAUAAUUUCCAGUAUUGAAAAUGUAAAAAUAAACUCGGUAAUCGGACAGAAGUUAACAGUGUGAAUUCUCUGAUUGUCAAUGUAAAGGUAGGAGAUGAAUUAUAGUAUAACUAAUGAGAUUAUCACUCCUAUGUCGAUGAACUCCUACCUUAUGAGGUAACACUGUCCUUUAUAUGAAAUAAGAAAUUUACCAUGGCAUUUAAUCGGUCACCGGAGGUCAUCGGACUAGUUCAUUGAAGCAACAUAAAGGAUACCUUAGCAUUUCGACAGACGACUCAUACAUUAACCGUAGCUACCCAGAAGGGUCGAGACAAAGAUGAUUUCAGAUAAGGGCGAACACCAGGAACCAUGAUUUAUGAUAUUUACACAAUCGGAAGUUCUUGGGCAAGUGUAACCCCUACAAAUUCGCGGAACAUGAACCAUAUCCGUAAUCCAUCGUGGCAGCAAAAUGAGGCCAAACUGACACUUAUUAAAGUCAUAUUAAAGCUAAUUAGUGAUGUAUGAUUGAAUCUACCUAAUAUAAAAUCAUACAUUAAAAAUAACUACAUUUAAAAUAAACAUUAAAAUAAUUAUUAAUAAUUAUUAAAAUAAUUAUUACAAAUUAACUACAUAAAUUAACAAUUUAAGGUACCUUUAUAAAACCCUAGCAAAUGGAAUGACCUAAAGUCGGUCUUUCGGACACAAAAACCUUCAAAUCAAUUCAAAAAAAAGAAUGCCAAAAAAGCAUCUGCAAACGACACAAGCAGUAUAUAGAUCAAAUAUAAAUCAUUAUUUUUUCCUGCGAAGAGAAAGCCUAUGAAUGAAGUCAUAAAAUGUAACUACUGCGCUACAUACGGUUCGCCCGCCUACUAUUUAUUUUUGAUUAAAAUUAAUAAUUAAUAAGUAAUUAUAAAAAUCAUGCUCUCUAUAGAAGAGCAGGAGCUGAGAAUCCGACGAGAAUAACUCGUCGCAUGCGUUCUUAACGAUGGUUCUUUUGCUUAGCGACGCUGCGGUUUGAAUUUUCAUUAUUCAAAAAAAUGAACAAUAUCGAACUUCAUAACUAAAAAUUCGGCAUGGCUCAAUGGCAUCUGCAAAAAAUUAAAUUGGUAUGCAGCUCAUUCAUCUACAAAUAUUCCAUGGCACUUAUUAAAUGUCACAUGCAUAAACUCCCAUAUAUUUUAUGAUAUGCAAUUAAAUAUCACAUCAAUUUAGAACAUAAAGCGCAUCACAGCAAAUUAAGAAAAUACACGACGAAAAUAAUUGCAUAACCUGUUGCAUGAAUGAAUUGCAACCUUGUCCAUGGCGACCGGAUUUGAGAUGGCCCCUCCCCUCCUGACGUGUAAUCUUCAAUGGAAUCGGCUCAGGGGUUCUUCAAAUACCCUCUAACCCCCAGGGUUCCGCGCAGGUUCACUUUUAUGUUUGCGUCUCCUUUUUAUGUUACUAGAAUGUGCUGGUUAGAUGAUGUUCUUUUCUCCAGGACUAAUGGGCUCGGACUGAAGCCCGAAACUUUCUGUUCUGUCAGCUUCGCUAGGUCGAGCUGGUAGGCAACGUUUGCUUCGCUAUCGAGGUACUAACGUCUCGAGCGAGCUGUAGCGAACAGUAACGUUCGCUAGGCGACGCGCGAGCGAACAGCCAUUUUGGGCCAUUUCCGGAUUGGCCAUUCGUGAAGCCCGGGCCUGCGGUUCCUCUUUGGAUGUAUUGCCUUGUGGAACAUAGUCGGAGUCGUGGAAAACUGUUUUGUAAUACCACGGGAAUUUUGGGAAAGACAUGCCUCCUGUCCAAAUUAUCUUGAACCGAGAAGUUAAACGGGAGUAAGCGUUCGUUGGUCUGGAGGUGAAAAAUAAUAACUAGAUGCCCAACAAUUGCGCUGUCCCAUUACUCAUGAAUGGCUUAAGAGCAAUGCAGAGGUCGAUUGAGAAAUUCCAAGAUUGUGUCGGGUAUCGAGAGCAAUGUCUAAGAAUGACCAUAUACGGGUCAGCGCAGACCGUAUAGUGAAACAUUCACAGCCUUAGACUUCCGCGGGAUCAGAGUAAUCAUAGCUGCUGGGUGAUAAGAUCAGAAGGAUCAUACAACGAACCAUACUCUGACAGAGUGAGCUGUUCGUUAGGCGAUAUUUGCUGAUUUAAAAUUCAGAACAAUCGUGACGCGAGACGUCGGCUCUGAAUGCAACAAAACCUCCGUUAGGUCUGAAUCUGCUUGAAAGGAGAGUCGUUACCAGACCUACAUUCAGAAAUUACUGUCCGAAGUCAGCAUCUGAAAAGGUAAGCCGUAUCCAGACUACCAUUCAAAUGACCGUCCGAAGUUCACACCUGAGCAAAGACGGGAGUAAGCCGAUACAGAGCGACCAUCAGGAAAUGUUAUCCUGCCGAGGAUAGCACGAGGCACGGGGAGUAGCCUAUACCAGACCUACCAUUCAGAAAUCUAGUCGUCCGACAGGUAGCAUUCUAGGAGAAGUAGCCGUAUACUAGACACCAUUCAAAAUGUCCCUAUCCGAAGGUAAGCAUCGAGGAAAAAAGGUCUAGACUUGGUCGACAUAAACCAUUAUCAGUUCCCGGACUGAUGACGCUAACUUGGUUCUCAUUACAUAGACGUACUGCAGAACGAACUAAGUCUAACUGUCGUACAUUAGACUGAUUGCAGAUCACUUGAAAGUCUAACUUGGUCGUGCAUUUAGAACCUGAUCUUAGUGGUAUUUGAAGAUUUGAACGUCUAACUUGUCGUACAUUUAGACUGUAUCUGAUAAUGAAGUCAAAUGGAUCGUGACGCUAGAAUCGAUCUCGAUUGAAGGAGUCAUAUGUUAAGAUGAAUCAAGAUGCAUAGACCGGAACGCUAGUUCAAUUCUUGAUAUAGUGUAAUGCUGUAAUUUUGCAAUAAUCUGGGAUUGGGCUAUUGAUAAGUAGAUGCCAUCGUUAGAGAUUCAGAAUUGAAUGUUUGUGUCAUGGAUGUACUGAAAGAUUAUUGAAUCUGAAUGUAAUUGAUAAGGAUGUCCGUCGAAUGUACCUUUGUUUUUACAGUCAGGAGGUAUAAUGACCUGAAAAUUAAAGUUAGCUCAACUGCUCCAUGUAUGAAUGCAUAUGAGAUGCCAAACAUGUGGUAUGGCAAGCGAAAUGAUGUACGAGUGAAUUAUGCGUCCUGAAUACAAUGAGAAGCAUUGUAUACAUUGUAUAUGUAAAAAUGAUGUACUUCCAUAUAUAGACGGAUAGGAAAUUCGUAUGUAGUAGGGAUUGGAAAUGAGUCACUAUGUCGAAACGUUCUUCCAGGGGAUCUACUGGGAAAAAAUCUCACUUCGUCGGUAGAUAUUUGUAUGAACCCUCCUAGCAGGUGUACUUUGACUCGUUGAUGGUAAUUAGAUAUCCAAUUCCGAUCCUGCUAAGAGUGAAAGAUGACCAGUAAGAUCGGUUCCUUUUCGACACUCGCUGGCAAGUCUACUGGUUCUGUUGCGGAGAUGUACAGGUCCAGGGGGUGUAGUAGUGCCAAAGGACAGCACUUUGAAUAGAAUUAGCAACAGAUUCAUGGUGAAAGCAAGAUUAGACCCUUCUCCACUCGAUCCUGAAGUCGUGUUAUAAUGCUAUUUACUAUGGCUAUGCAGUAAACUUUUUGAUAAACAUGGAUCACUAGCAAAUGCAUAAUCAAGUCAAUAAAUCACAUGGACGUUACUGGCAAACAAAACAGAGAAAGUAAAACAAAGCAUCUCUUUUGAAAUAAAAUGUAUGAUUGCAAGAGGGCCUAUAAAUAUGGCAAUUGACUUACACCAGGAGACAGAAACAUCCUAAGUAAGAGGAAAUUGUCAGGCAAAUAAGCCAGAAGCUAUGAGGAAAAAGUCCUGUGAUUAAAUUCCAUCUACUUCGAUUAAUGUCUCAACCUUUCAUGCCUCCUGCUUGCGGACUAAAGUUAUGCUGUUAUUCCUGAAGCUUGUAAGCAACAACGAACCGGGGCAUAGUCAUGACCUUUAAUCCUCAUUGCCUGGACCUGCUUUUCACAGGUUUCAUCACUAGGGAAUAUCACCCUUUUUUUGCUCAUGCGCCUUUUUCAAGGUUUUCGAUUCCGGUUAGUCUUAAUUUUUAUCCCUAAUUUUUUUGCGUGCUCGACCUUUUUGGUUGUCACGGAUGCCCUACUUGUCCUAGGUGAACGUGCGGACCUAAGGGUCUCUUUUAUCGUAUAAUUUUUUUAACUAAUUCAAGCUGUUCACAGGAAUGCGGGAACCUUCGCCACCAUUGUAGCAAAUCAUGCUCCACAGAGAAUACCGUCUUCUAAACUACAAUGGCCCCUUAAAUGUCGUGUGGGAGUUCCAUUUGUCCUCUAGGAUCAACUUGUGGUAGAAUGAUACGCUUGACCACGCAAGCGCCAAGUGUGUAGCUACCUGUCUCUCUGAGCCUUUUUGUUAUGCUGGGUCAUUCGCUUCUGGAUAUAUCUGCCUAUGAACAAACAGCCGCAAGUCUCUUUUCAUCAAUCACGAUUUACUGAUCGACGUCGAGUUUGAAUCCAUUCAUCCUCAUAUAAGCUGCAUCUUCUUCCGCAAUCUAGAGAGGGAAUCUGACUCACUAGGUAACACGUACUCCAUUCCAUAGGACUAAAGAGAAAGGGGUGCCCUUCGAAGUGCGUAACAACCAUCGAAGAGCAAAAAGGUAUACAUCUUCAUGCAGUCUUUGUAUUUACUGUGUUAAUAUUCUGAUAUGUUAGCAGCCUCCAACUGCGCGUUGUUUCUUGGCCCUGGUACGGUGAGAAUGAAGUUAUGUGCUUAUUUUGAAUUGCGUGUAGAGUGUCAAGUUUAGUACCAUGUAUCAGUGAAAUGUACAUCUCCAAGGGAGACAGCAGGUUCUCCAGUAGAUAUUAUAGAACCAUCUUAGAAUAUCAAUUAAAGUGUAGAUUCAACAUAUACUGUUUUAGCGUUUCGAUCAAGCUAAGCCAAAGCACAGUAAGCUUCUUCGAGCUGUGAGAUUCUGUUCACAGUUCAGGUUACCUGUUGCUAAGGCAUUGUAUUGGCAUUGCUCUUUCGCUCCAUGACCGCAGUGCUCCCAUGCACAGUCUCGCAUUUAAUUUCUAACAGGUCAAAUACAAUAUUAAGGGUUAGCCUUCAACGUAGAAUUAGAAUUAGAGGUUCUGGAGAUAUUCCUGAUUUUUUAUUCCUCAUUCCAUUCAUCUCUUAAUUUCUUUUGGUAAUUUGACCGAUGGUUUGCAGGUAGCAGUCAAAUGUGGGAUGAAUCGGCAAUGUAUUAUAUCGAGGCCCCAAAAACUCUGACUCUGCUUGUCUAUUCAGUACCCAAUUGCAAAUUUCAAUCUGAAUAUCCUCUCGCGGCUUUUUAGUAGGGUCUUUUCUUCUGUCGUAAUCGUCUGACAAUUUCACCAGGACUCACACUGCCUCGCUUCCAUCCUCUGCUUGUAGAUCUAUCGGUUAUUUUUCAAAGUCAUAACUGAUACAGUAGCAAACUAUUAUACAACAUAUCCAGAGUGUAUAUGGAUCGAAAACUGUUACUGCCUGUGUGGCAAGAAACAUAGCUUGUUUGAAAAAAAAAUGUAAGAAAAAUAAAGAGCGUUCAUUUUGAAAUGCAAAAAUACGCUCUAGCAUCGGACUGGCUUCCUUGAUAGGAGCUGCAUUAGGUCGAAUAUGACGUGAGACUCGGAAGAGACUUAGUUAAUUGAGAAUCGCGACAAUAAACACUUGAUAGACGGAAGAUGCUAGCGUUCUGUGCAUCCUGGUUAUAAAGAUCGUAUCGCGUGCGAUCCUCUUAUCGACUAGAGGCUUGAUACGCUUAUACAUAGAUCUUAGCCAAUCAAAGCAUAGAUAACAUGUAUGCGCGCGGAGAGGCAGCCUAUGCGGCGAAGAGGUCAGGAUCAGAGGAAAUGAUGAUAGCGGAGCGUGGACGGCGGAGAUGAUCGAGGUAGAGUCAUGCCGCCCAUAGCACCUGAUGUUCAGCUGCUUGCCAAGGACUCGGAGCCUCGGAGAAUGUUCCCUAUAGAAUUGAGUGUGCGGUGUCACGGAGAGGUUCAGGCUAGAGAUUAGGAUAUAGGAAAGAUUCACUAGCUAUCCAGUCGCAUAUCGUUAUAAGUCUUAACAGCAUUGACAGCUCGUCUUGAUUUAGGCAGAGGACAGUGAUGACAUUAGGCAGUCCUCCGGAGGAUCAGAGUAGUCGCUGUAUCUUCCACUUUCGAUUAUGUCCACUUUCAACGUGUUCACUCCUGUUAAUAUAAGUCAUGGCAAACCCAAUGAUGAACUCCCAAAUGAUGCUUAAAUUGGGCGUUAGUUGGUGCCAUGAAACAGUCCACUAACUCUCUGUCAUAGCAGGUGGGUUACUCUGCCACUCAACUCUCACUUUUGAUCAUAUUCUUUGAAACUUUCUUUAGAUCCCAAGUCAUAUCUGCAACGUACCGAGGUAGGUGCGCUAGUUUCAGAAUUACUGGGUACUGCUUUGUAAGAAAAUCAUUCUAAUCAGUCCCCAUUGGUGUGGAUGUCAUGCCUCUCGAGUCGAUAAUACCUACUCCAAUUGUGUGCCUCAGAUUUCUGUCUUUUUUCUCUCGACAAGAGAGCCUUCAGUUCUUCUGCCCCCUGGAUAAGUUCAAGAUUUUUCUGGAGUUGAGCAUUAUGAGACUGGAGUCUUGACAUUUGUUCGAGGUCCAUUUUUCUGUGUGGAGAAAACCGUGAGAACACUGAUCCCUUAGAGUACCUUGUUAUGCUAUGUUAUGCUAUGCAAUGCAUGAAUGUUUCAGGCCUUUUGAAUUAACUUUGCAUAAACUACGAAAAGGGAAACUUUUUUUUUGUUUUUUUUUUUGUUUUUUUUUGUUUUUUUUCAUACAAAACAGAGCAAAGUUAAAUCCCUAAGUCCUUGAAAUGGUUAGUACAAUGUUAUGUUCAUGUUUUAGAAUGUUAUGAGGUUAAAUAAAUAACAAGCACACAAGCAAGUCACACAACCAUCAUUCUAGGUUUUAAGGCUUGCAUGAGUUCCAUAGGUAAGUACUCCCUCCCACUGAAGUUUAGUUGGUUCAACCUGUCCUAGAAUAGUAACCGGGUUCUAAAAGAUCUCCAAUCAUUGACCUUCCUUCAAGUCCACUUCAGUGCAACACCAAGUGGUUGACCGAAGCUCCCUAAAGUCCAAUCUCAAAGAGUGUAGUAUCGAGUCUCAACCACCCCAGUCGGAACCGAGUCAGUUAUCUCACUACUUUCUAAUGCUGAGGAUGAGUCAAUUAGGGUUCUAAAGGUCUGGUUAAUGCUUUGAUGACACCACGCAGAUGCAAAUUUUUCCUCAAGAAACAUGAGGAAAUCAGGACACCAAAGUGUCACAUUAACCGUAGCCAUCAUUUUAACCAUUCCAAGUAUACGCCGGAUAGUCGCGAUGAUCUAUUGCUACUUACCUAAGGUACACUAGAUCGGGUGGUAGGAUCUUUCACUCAAAAUACCCAAGCAAUCCUUAAAAGUAAAUUAGACAAUUGGAAUAGUGACUGUUUUUAAGGUAACCUCUCUUUUAAAGUAUCCCCAGCAGAGUCGCCAGUUCGUGCAUACGGUGAACUGACUUUUGGUGUUUGCUUUUUAUCGCAAUGUCGCGAUAGCAAGAGUCGCCACCGACUUUUCUUUUAUCCAAUAAGGAAAGUGGGAAAAACAGGAAAGACCUCAAAUAGAUUUGGGUUCGAGGUACAUUAUACAAAGGGAAGGGUUAGCACCUUUGGUAUCCAUGUUUAUCCAUGGGCUCUAAUUGCUGGAUCACUUAUAUUUUUUUCUGAAAGUGUUGGUGAAUUGUUUAGAAAUGUUUGAAGAGAGAUUAACUUUGUAAGAUCUCGUAUGAAUGUAUACAAAGUAUUAUCUCAUUUGAUUUUGAAAAUGGUUUAGAAAAAUAUAAUCCGGUAAUGAUUCAUAGAUAUGUAUACCAAGUGUGAUUUUCUAGAUUUGUAAAGUGUAAAGUGUGAGGGAUGGAAAAUGUUUAGGUUAUGAUCCAGUAAUUGAGAGUUAUAUCCUUCCUGAGUCGUUAUGAACGUUCCUAUCCUUAUGAGGGUAAAACUGUCCUACUAUUGAGAAGUAAGUAAUUUUACCCUUUGGAUGUUAAGGGUCACCGUAGGUCACGAUAGGUCAUUGAAGGCAACAGUUGUAAGGAAACCUUAGCAUUCGAAGGGACGAUCAUCAUUUAACGAGGCUACACCGAAGGGUCAUCGAGGGACAAAAUCGUAUUUUCGAAGGCAACAUCCGAGGGACCAUGAUUUAUUUUAUGAUGAUUUAAUCGAAGGUCUUUGCUAAGUGUACUCCUACAUUCGCGGGACAUGACCUUAUAACCGUAAUACCGUAAGGCAGCAAAGAGAGGUCCAAGAUCACUUAUUUAAAGGUCAUUUUAAAGUUAAUUAGGUGAUAAUGAUGAAUCUCCACAUAAAAUCAAUACAUAUAAAAUAAUACAUUAAAAUUAAUACAUUAAAUUAAUUAAAAUUAAUUAUUAAAAUAACACAUUAAAAUUAAUAAGCAAUUUAGGGUGAGCCUCCACAAGGGUAUCCACAAAUAAAGUGGAAGACCUACACGGCGUCUUUUUUCUGGGACAAUAUGAACCUUUGCAAAAUUCAACCAAACGGGUUAGCAAUACCAAAUCAAGGGUGCAAUCAAAGAUUGCACCGCAAAAGAAAUCACAACAGUAAUAGGAUCAAAUAAACAAUGCCUGGCUUGAUAAACAUGAAUGAAAAAGUCAAAACAGAAAAGCUGGCUACUAUCAGGUUCGCCGCCGCCUCGCCUAGCGAAGGCUUAGCGAAUACUCGCUGCAUGCUCGCUUAGCUGCUGUGCUAGCGAGCGCUGCGGGUUUGAAUUUCAGAACAGUAUGACUUCAAACCUGCGGCAUGGCUCAUGGCAUCCAACACAUAAUAUAUGGUUCAGCAUUCACAAUAUCCAGGCACAUUUAAAUUCACAGCAAACCUCAAAUAUGUUAUGAAUUCAAUUAUAUUAUCACAUGCAAGUUAAGAACAUAAAGCGGCAUCACAUGCAAUUAAGAAAAUAACACGAAAUAUAAUGCAAACAUGUUUGCAAUCGAAUUGCAACCUUGAAUGGCGAGCCGGGAUUGAUGGGCGCGGUAGCUUCGGGCGGGAAGCGGCCUUCAGGGUUUCUUCACUCGAAACUCUCUAAAGUAGCCCUCCAGUGUUCCGUGCCAGGGUUUCCGUCCUCUUCCUCUGUUUUUCGUCCCCUUUUUGUUACUGAAGUGCUGGUAUUUAUAAUGCUUUUUCCAUGACCUAAUGGGCUCGGGAGUGAAGCCCGAAAUUUCUGUUUCUGUCAGCUUCGCUAGGCGAGCUGGUAGCGAACUUUGCUUCGCUAGGCGAGCGUGUAGCGAACAGGCCAGUUUUGGGGCCAUGUUCGAUUUGGCAUUCGUGAGCCGGGCCUUCGUUCCUUUGGGAUGUCAGUGCCUUGUGGAACAAGUCGGAGGGUCUUGGAAAAUGUUUUGUAAUAUCAACGGGCAAAUUUUGGGGUAUGACAAACAUCAAGGAAUAAUUUUUCAAUCACUGCUAGGAUAAUCAGGUAAGGGGAGAAAAUUGAUUCAAAAACGGAUAUAUGCCUAAGGGGUAGAAUUGAGGAGUCUUUAACCUCCUAUAGGAUGUUGUUUGAAUUCUGAAAUUGGUGAUAAUGUGUUGUUAUGUGAUGAAUUUAAUGAUCUAAUUCAUGUACUAAUUUGUGUUAAAUAUUCUGUUAUGAGUUAUUUUUGUCAUUAUGUCAUUGUCGAUAUUUUGAAAGUUUUGAGAAUAAUAUGAUUGUGUGAUAAUCCAUGUUUAGAAUGGAGUGGAGAUAAGUUUGGGUCGAAGAAAUUGAGUUUAGGAGUGAAAUUUUCGUAAGGAAAUCGCAGAACAAUGCAUGAGAGUGUUGAUCGUCUUAUUUCAGGCAUAACUUGAGUUUCAUAAAUCUUUCUGGGAUGCCAUCAAUUGCGUUAAAAAGAUAACUUAAUGAUCUUUCAAACUGAAGAGUUUCAUUUUUUUUAUCAUGAGUAUAUAAUAUUUCGUGCUAUUUUAAAGUCAGACAUUUUGUUUUAGAGUUUAAGCAGGAAAUAUUCGUGAUAGGGCUUAAGUGAAACAAAUUGAACUAGAGUUUUGUAACUCUUUUUGAGACGCAAUUAAGUGCAUUUGAAAUAGAGUUUAAUGAUAUUCUCAACUGUAAAUUUUCAUAAUUUUCUCAUUAAGUAUAUAAUUUUUGGCGUCAUUUUAAAGUCAGGCAAAACACUCUGUCCGAUACGAGUAUCGUUCUUGUUGUUUGAUUAAAUUGGACCUAUUGGUGUAUUAAAUCAUGAAAUAAAAAUCAUAUUCUUAAAAUAGACUCUCUAAGUUUUCUGGAACAUAUUCAUUUGCUUGAUUAUAAUUUUGUUUGCUAUUUAAAAUAAUUAUUAGAAUAUGAUGUGUGUCUGGUAGAAAAUAUGAUUUUGGGAUGAGAUUGUUCCAUGAGUUUAGAGUUGUUAUUGAGUAGUCUUGAGAUGUUUAGAGUUCUGAGAGUAUAAUUAGUAGUUGAAUAUGUUUUAGAGUUGCAUUUGAGCAACUCUAAUAAGUUUUAGAGUGAUAUUGAUAAGUUUAAGAGAGUGAUUUGUUACCUAAUGGUUAUUACCCUAUUGAUAAUGCGACACAAGUAAUAAUAAUAAUGCGUUACUCUAUUGAUGAGUUUAAAGUUAAGUUAUAAGAGUGAGAUUUGUUACCUUAGAGUUGUCAAAAGUUACUAUUUGAGUAAUUCUGAUAUGUUUUAGAGUUGAGUUGGUAUGUCAUAGUGUUAAUGAUUAUUAUCCUUUUAAUGACCUGACACAAGUAAUAAUAACAUUGAGUUAUUCUAUUAAUGAGUUCAGGAUUAAGUUAACUAUUUUGAGUUUUUUUGAAUUGUGCAAGAGUUGUCAAUUGAGUAUUUUAGAUUACCGUGGAGUACUUUAGGGGUAAUUUAGAGUCAUAUUUUUAUUUGUUUUGAGUAACUCUGACAUAUUUAGAGAGUUGUUUUUGAGUCAUUUAGAGUCACAUUCGAUGAAUUUUAUUUUAUUUAAUAAUAAUAAUUAUAAUUUAAUAUUAUAAAUUAUAAUAUUUUAGAGUUGAGUUGCAUAUAUUUUUUUUAGAGUUGUCGAUAUAGUUGUUAGAACAACCAAUUAAGUUCAUACAAGUUAUUUUUAUAAGCAAAAAUUGGCAGUAGAACAUUUUUGAGCACCUUAGAGUUACUUUAGAUAGAGAUCGUUGUCGAGUUGUUUAGAGUUCCUUGGGAACUAUGUUGAUUAUAAUUAUAUAUUGUUAUAAUCUUUGAUGAGUUAAGAGUAUAUAAUAAAUUAAUAAAAAUACUUUGUUGAGACGUUUUGAGCAUGUAUAUUUGGUUUUUGAGUUUUGACUAAUAAUACAACUUUAUUCUAUUAUUGAUAAUUUUUGAGUUAUAAUAUAUUUAUUGAAUUUAAUUAUAGGAUGAUGUUGUGUUAACUUAUGUGAAUUGUGAUGAUGAUAUUAUGUUGUGUAAGCAUGAAUUGUGUUGUUGAACUGUGAGUAUGUUGUUGUGGGAUAAUAGUUCAGAAGGAGAACUAUUAUCGUUGGAUCAAUGCAUCUUUUGUUUAUUAUCGAGUGGAGACUUUCAACAUUAUGUUGUUGUUGCAUUAACGUGUUGUGACAUGCAUUCAUUAUGUCAUUGUUGUUGAUGAAAAUGCAAGUUGCAAUUCGAGCAAGGUGGAUUGGUGACUUGUCCCGAAUCCGAACAAGGUGAACUUGAUUCUUGAGUGAACCAAUUGUUGAUGAUAUGGUACUACAUGCAUAUGAGUCUCGUUGACAUUGUGAGUCUCAUUGCAUAAGUUUUAAAUGAUCGAUGUGUGAUUACGAUGUGUAUGAUGAUGAGCUGGAUGUGAGAAUAUGUUGGUGUGUUUGAUGGAAUAUGCAUAUAGAUGUUUGUGAUUCUAUCUUACAGCUUUUUUCAUUUAUCUUAUUGAUGUGAAUUCUCACCCCAUUGUUGUUGUUGUUGUUGUUUGUACUCCUCUUCGGGGUACAAAUGAGCAGAUAAACGAGUGACUGCUUAAAGCUGGAGGAUGACAUUGAUUCUAUUAUUCUUUUUUCUAUUUUUAUGCGUUUCUAGAUUUCCGUUGCUAUGAUUUGUAAUACCGGGCAGACAAAUAUUUUUUGUUUUAUCAUUAUAUUUUGUUAAUGUAGGAUUAAAUGAUACACUUUCAAUGUUUUGAGUUUUGUUGAUUGCGGAGGGCUGAAGGCUUAUGCCAUGAAUGUUUUAAUUUAAGUAAAGUAAAUUUAUGAGAUUUAUAUUAAUGUGAUGCAUGCUUAGUGUGGAAAUUUCGCCGCGAUGAUACCCUAAGUGAAUGUGAGCAUGCAAUGACAGAUGUAAGUAAAUAUUUUAUUUUAUUGAAUAUGUGUUACAUAACAAAUGUUUUUGAUGAUGAGUAACAUCCUAAAUGUGAAUAUGUGCUUCCUAUAUGAUUUAUUUUAUGUUAUUAAACAUUGUUAUUAAACAUGGGGUUUUAGGGUGUUACAAUAUCAACAAUACUAUUCCAUAUGAUGUAGCGUCAAGAAAAAGACUGAAAAGGUUCAUCUAGAGUUAUCGAUCACGUUCGCUCACGGCGCGAGCGACCACCCACCGCGUGAGAAGAAGGGGGCGGAGCACCGUUUGAAAACGCGGUCGAUAUCGCCGCAAAUGCGGGUCGCGGGUGCGAUUCGCACCUUGGGCGAAGCGGUUUAUCAACUUUUUUUUAUGCGAAAUGAAGAAUAAGAAAUGAAAUGAGAUGAAGUGGUAGGGAAUACAGAGAUAAGAAUGAAGAAGAUGAAGUGGUAGUGAAUACAGGGAUACGAAUGAAGAAGAUGAAGUGGUAGGGGAAGAGGUGAUGUGAUACGGAUAAUAGUAUUAAAUUUCAGUGGGAACAUCACAUAGUGUAUACAGUUGUAUAGGAAGUGGAUGGAUGUACUUUAAUGAUAGUAUCUUUAAUAAUUUUAGGUUAAAUAAAUAUAAUAAAAUAUUUAUAUAACAAAUAAGUAAUGUAUUUAUUAGAUCGAGGGGCUUUAAAGGAACAGUUGUUUGACGUACAAGAACAACAUCUAUAUACCCAUAACUUAAGGUUUUUAAUUUUAAAUUUAUUAUAAAAUAAUGAUUAUUUAAUUCAUUUAAUAUUAUAAUUUAAAGAUUAUUUCAUUUAUUUAUGAUAAUUUUUAUGUAUAUAAUUUUUUAAUUCAUAUAAUUAAUUUAAAAAUUUAUCCCGCUAUCCACUAUCCCGCUAUUCCAUUUUUGAGGUCAACCACUCCGCUAUCCGGGAUUAAUAAUUCUGGGUUCAUCCAGACUCGCUCGGCUGAUGGAUGCUAAAUUAGAAAAUGAGAGGAAGACCAUUUUUGGUAAGUGACAUAGAAAUCUCAUUUUUCUUGGUUGUUUGCUUGAACAACCCUCUCCCACCUCCUUACUUUUCCCUUGCUGGUUGUGCAUAUGCGAUAAAGAGUGAAGAAGCAAUGCAACAGAUAAUGAGGGAUCUUUGAGCUACCUCCCUUCUAACGGGUAUUCCAACCACCCCAUCGACCGAUUGUUCUCCUCCAUGUACACCGACAGAUCCCAUUGUUCAAACUACUUUCCUAUGCUAAAGUAAAAGUUCGAAUUUCACCUAAUCAGACCGCGAUAGAUGAUGUCCUACUCCAUCCGCAUCCAAAGGACACGAGGAUUUGUAUUUUUAACCCUGAACUUGAAGAGCUUCAGAUUGAGAGGUCGCUUACAAAACGUCCAUAACUUGGAUAUGUCGGAGAACAUGCUUCAAUUCAAGCAUAUCAUAUUUUGUGAUGUUAGGUCGUUUUGGCUAAGGACGACCAUGGAAUUCCAUUCUUCCAUUUCAUUAGAUCAUUCUCAUUUUUCAAAAUUUUCCAAAAAACUUACCAUAAGGAGUAAGUGGAGUUAGCCUAUCACGUCCGUCAGACAUCUACCAUCUUUGCUAGACCUAUAUUGGGGGAGGUCUUGUUGUCUAUAAUAAUAAAACGGAAAUUUUAAAAAAAAUCACACAAGAAAUUAAUAAAUAAGAGUAUCUAUAAAACAACUCUUUUAUUUUUAUUUUAGACGUUUCUUUUAUUUAGUUACAACAAAAAUGAAAUUACAAAUUGAAAUUAUAAACAAAAUAAUACAAAAGAAGAAAAAGUCGUCUAACAAAACUACGUACACGCCAUCUUCACAAAAUGAAAAUUAAACAGAAAAAGAAAAAAACAGAACAGAAGGAGAAAUACCCCCAACGGAUGUUUUCACAUUUUGAGCUUCAUCCCAAUUCUUUCCUUCAUUCUUCAUAAACCCUAUCUCCCAUCCCAAUUUACCCCAAUUCGAAUUCAACCAUGACUCAUCACUAACCCAAUCAAAACCCAAAACAUGUAUCUGAAGAAACCACUCUGGAGUGAAGGAAUUGAAACAGAGAAACAAGAUCCAACUGGAUCAUCAGAUCCAAAUGCUUCCGUGGUGGAGCUCGUGAAUUCACUUCAUCAACAAAGGGUAUAUCGUGAAGUUACUCUCGCUCUCACCACCGGUCUCCGAGACGCACGUGCCGAAUUCUCGUUCCUCCGUCUCCGUGCUCUCCGUUCCAUUCUCAAUUUCCUCAAUUCCAUUGUCGAUUCAGAUUCUACUAUUUACCUCUUUAAUCUAACCCAAUCUAUUCCCCAACUUCAAGGUCGAUUUUAAUUCUUCCUCAUUUUCAUUAUCAUUACUGUUACAAUUUCAAUUUUCAGUUUGUUUAUGGUGGUUUUACUUUGAUUACAGUGGUUCCGGUUCUCUUUCAGCACUCGUUAAAGGAAACUGGGGAUGAUCACAAUUACAAUAAGGUAGUAGGUGACAUGAGUCAUAUAUUUGGUGUGGAACCCAUGAAGUUAACUAGUCCAUCUACAGAUGAUGAAAUUGCACUUGCUCUUAGAGUCUUGGAAGGAUGUUGUUUGCUUCAUCCACACAGUACUACUCUUGCUCAUCAACACAAUGCUGUUCAGGUUAUCUUCCUUUUUUUUAAUUCUAUUUAUUUAUUUAUCAGCUUUCAUUUUCACUGAUAGGAUCACAUCAUAACAACAAGUGUAGUUGCAAGUAAUUGACCGGUUGAGAAUCAACUAUCGAUCGCAAAGAUUGAGUGUCAAUUUCAAUGCAAAAUUGAACGGGUAACUAGUUUGAUUUGGUGAGAUAAUUUAGAUAGAAAAUCCAGCGAUGAUAACUACCAUAGAGACCAGUUUCAAUUGAUUUUAAGCUUAAUUAGUUGAUUAGAAAUUAUUAUGAAUUUAUUUUUCGAAUUGUUAGCGAAUUUUUUAUCCUAUCCUUUAGGUAAGAGAACCUUUAAACUAAAUUUAAUUUAAUUCCUAAUUAGGAAUAAACGUGAGCAGAAGUUUUAGAGUGGUUCCAAGCAUCAAAGAUUAUUCCUAGAUCAAACAAGCAAGAACUCUUAAACUCUAGCAUUCAAGGAUUAAACUUCCAUUCAACCAAUAAAUCAUGAAACGUUGUGUGAUGAAGUCGUAGAAAGUAUUAAAAGAAGAGAUAAGAAAAUAGACUCAUGAAGAUCAAUUUAAAUAACAGAGUUUCAAUAGAUUUUCAUCAAUAUCUAUUCAUCUACAACAAAGGGGGUUUAGCGAGACAGAGAAAUAAAACAAGAAAUAAAGGGAGAAGAGGAAUAAUAAGAAUUAGCCAUGGAUGAUUUACAAAGAAAUGAUUUUUGUUGUGUUUCCAACAAGUAGUAUUUGCUAGAACACUGUUCUAAAUGAUUAAGUGAUCAAAAGAUCCCCACAAAAUAUUUAAAAAACGUAUUUAUAGUGAAAUAAGUCAAGUAUGAGGCGCUUAAACUUGUCGCGGGGCACCUAACACUGGCCAAAUCACGAGAACAUGAAAGAAUUGCAGAGCCUAGCACUGUCUAAGCCUUGUAGCUCUGAUGAAGGUAGCGCCUAGCUUUGGCACUAAACACUGUUUGGGACACACAGAUACCUUCAGCAGGUGCCCAGUGCUGGCUCAGGUGUCUAGAGCUCUAACUAGGCAGAGUUUCAUACAUUUGCCUCUCUCAUUCGAGCCUUUCCUUUGAUCGUCUUCCAGAUCUACAAUUAAGCAAUAUGAAAAACAAGUAAAAUGUUCAACAUUUGGACUCAAAGAUAUCCAAGUUUAUCAAUGCAAGUGAAAGACAAUACACAUGACAAAUCAACAAAGAACUAGGUUAAAACAAUAUUUUAGUUUAACGGAAAUGUUGAAAUCCACGCCAAAAGUAGCUCUAGAAUUAGAUGAAUUAUCAAGUAGUACCAAUACUUCUAAUUGAAGAUAUGUGACACCACAUCAACGCAAGUGGUUACAUUUAAUCACUUCCAUUUUCUAAAAUUAUUAUAGGCAUCGACUCGAUAGAAGUUUAGGGUUUAGGGUCUCCUGUUUUUUUGGGUGAAAGCAUAAUUCUUAGAUACAUAACCUGGUUUUUAUUUCUACAGCUCAACUGUUUUGUUCAUAUUUUGUGUAAAACAAGAUGAAACUAGUUACUUUUGAAAAUAUAUAUUAUUAGACAUUGGGGGCCAAGAAAAUCAUUAUUAGAGGGGAGGAAGAAGAAGACACAUUCAUUAGAUAGAAAAAGAAUACUUAAGUGUUAUUUCUAAGUAAAAACCAUGAAAUUGAUUUUAAUUGGACGAUCAAAAUUAAUUGUUUUUCGUUUCUCGUGACACCAAUCUAGUAACAACCAAUCGGUUAUGUAUUUACAUUUUUAGGUAAUACAAUUUUUUUGAAUGCUAAAUAUAAUAUAAAAAAUAAAAGGAGAAGGCAAAUAAUGCCCAAAAAUACAAAAAAGCGGACAAGCAGCGCUACUAGAUGUACCAAGCCAAACCACUACCACCGAAAAAGGAGAGUCAAAUACAAAAAAAUAAAAUACAACACACCACAAAGCCAAAACAUCCUGGAGAAAAGGGAAGAAAAACAAUGAGAGAUAACACUAGAUAUCUAGGAGAAUAGGUUAGAUCUCAUCCUCCAAGAACCACCAUCAACAUAAACCAAAUACACUAGAAAGCUCCAAGAACACUCCAGCAAAGGAGCCGCCGGUGAAGACUCUCGAACCGACAGAAAAAUAGGGUUGCCAAGCCAAUUGGAGAAAGCACAGAAGGUAGUCACAUAGUUGCCUGGAACCAUUUCCAAGUGAGGAAGAACUAAACACCAUCCUAUCCAUUUCAAAAAGUGAAAGGAGAUCACUAGGAAGAACUAAACACCACCCUAUCCAUCUAAAGAUUCUAUACCACAGGGGCUGCCGCCAGCUCACAGGUAACAAACAAAUGGGAACUAAACUCAUCCUCCCCCCACACAUAAGACACCUCACAUCACACCCUCAAGAGCCACAAUAACCCUAUUCCGCAAGAGUUGCCAAUAAAACACCACCACUUUAGAACGCGCUCAACUGCC
rnacentral:lncRNA from 1 species